rnacentral:rRNA from 1 species
UACGGGGGGGGCAAGCGUUGUUCGGAAUUACUGGGCGUAAAGGGCUCGUAGGCGGCCAACUAAGUCAGACGUGAAAUCCCUCGGCUUAACCGGGGAACUGCGUCUGAUACUGGAUGGCUUGAGUUUGGGAGAGGGAUGCGGAAUUCCAGGUGUAGCGGUGAAAUGCGUAGAUAUCUGGAGGAACACCGGUGGCGAAAGCGACUCUCUGGACGGCAACUGACGCUGAGGCACGAAAGCGUGGGGAGCAAACAGG